rnacentral:misc_RNA from 1 species
CCAUCGGAUACUGACGCCAGAGAUUACAGGAACAAUGGGAGGUAUGGUGGUGGAGGAGAGGAUGGGGUGAGGAUUUGGCUCAAUAGUAUAGGGUUAGGGCGAUAUGCACCAGUUUUUGAAAUCCAUGAGGUGGAUGAUGAGGUUUUGCCAAUGUUGACACUGGAGGAUUUGAAGGAUAUGGGGAUUAAUGCUGUUGGGUCAAGAAGAAAGAUGUUUUGUGCAAUUCAAAAGCUUGG